GCAUUUCACCGGCCUUACCAUGCAGUCGAACGAUGAAGCGCUUCGGUGGUGGAUUAGUGGCGAACGGGUGAGUAACACGUGGGCAAUCUGCCCUUCACUCUGGGACAAGCCCUGGAAACGGGGUCUAAUACCGGAUAACACUCUGUCCCGCAUGGGACGGGGUUAAAAGCUCCGGCGGUGAAGGAUGAGCCCGCGGCCUAUCAGCUUGUUGGUGGGGUAAUGGCCUACCAAGGCGACGACGGGUAGCCGGCCUGAGAGGGCGACCGGCCACACUGGGACUGAGACACGGCCCAGACUCCUACGGGAGGCAGCAGUGGGGAAUAUUGCACAAUGGGCGAAAGCCUGAUGCAGCGACGCCGCGUGAGGGAUGACGGCCUUCGGGUUGUAAACCUCUUUCAGCAGGGAAGAAGCGAAAGUGACGGUACCUGCAGAAGAAGCGCCGGCUAACUACGUGCCAGCAGCCGCGGUAAUACGUAGGGCGCAAGCGUUGUCCGGAAUUAUUGGGCGUAAAGAGCUCGUAGGCGGCUUGUCACGUCGGAUGUGAAAGCCCGGGGCUUAACCCCGGGUCUGCAUUCGAUACGGGCUAGCUAGAGUGUGGUAGGGGAGAUCGGAAUUCCUGGUGUAGCGGUGAAAUGCGCAGAUAUCAGGAGGAACACCGGUGGCGAAGGCGGAUCUCUGGGCCAUUACUGACGCUGAGGAGCG
rnacentral:rRNA from 1 species